rnacentral:lncRNA from 1 species
CACUACAAAAAGUCUGACCACAGUGGGGGGCGGGGGGAGGUCUGGCUGCUCAGCCUUUCCCGGUUCUUGCUAAACACACACACACACUCACGCCCCUGGGACUCAGCUCGGCGGAGGGCGGGGGCUCUGCCCGGUUUCUGCUGGUUUCCCGGGCGCGGGACCACGGCCUCGGGAGCUCCCGAAAGGACGUCCGGACAACACUUUGCUCUAGUCCCGCAGAUCGAGCUGCAGCGCCUCUAUCCCCACGUCCGCACGCGGGAAACCCCGUCCUUGGUUUGCAGAGAGCCACUCACUUCACGGCUCCGGGUCGAGGCAGCUCUGGCCGUCGUCUUUCUCCCCCCCACAAAACCCUCUCCCCGCGCGUCCCCUCCUUGGUCCCCCCGCGUCCCCUCCAGCGUCCCCCGGCCCGGCCCUACCUCCUGGCUGGCCGCGGCUCCGCGGGCUCCGAGGCGCAGCUCGGGGGCGCUCGGGCGGGCGGGGGCGGCGCGCGGCGGGGGCCCGGGGCGCCAUGGCCCGCAGUCCCCCGCGCUCUUGUCGGCCGGGCCUCUCCCCGCUCCCCGCGCUCGCGUGCCCGCCGCCUGGCCGCCGUGGGCGAGUGGAGGGCGGCCCCUUCCUCUGGCGGCGGCGGCUCUGAGCCGGGCCGCCCCCCGCCCGCCGGCGCUCAGUGAGCUCACCCGCAGCUGGCGGGCGCCCGGCCCGUUGCCACGGCAACGCCUCUCCCAGGGCAGCGCGGACCCUAGAGCGGCUCCGAGAGCUGGCAUGGAGAAGGAAAUCCUUUAUCUGUGUUCUGGGCCGUCGUGACAUUUGGAUGAGGUCGAGCAAGGAAGGAGGCUGUCUUUGGGGCAGACAAAGUGCACAGCCCCACUUUGACACACCCUUGGUGAGGAUUCUCCUUAUCCCUCGACCUGAGCCCGUGGAGCCAUCUGGGCUGGCAGCCGGGCUUCCUCCAUCUUCCACAGCCAUCCUACUCCUUGCCUCCCCAGGAAGCCAUCUCCUGCCUGCUGUUCUGGGCUCUCAUUGCAUCCGUGGCCCUUUCUCCCCAACCUGGAGACAGCUGGAUGCGAGCUCCUGCCCGGCCCACCACAACCCCUGGCUGCCUCCCUCUGAGGAAAUAAAACCAAGUCAAGCAUCCCA